rnacentral:rRNA from 1 species
UACGAAGGGGGCUAGCGUUGUUCGGAAUUACUGGGCGUAAAGCGCACGUAGGCGGACUUGUCAGUCAGGGGUGAAAUCCCGAGGCUUAACCUCGGAACUGCCUUCGAUACUGCGGGUCUCGAGUCCGGGAGAGGUGAGUGGAAUUCCGUAGUGUAGAGGUGAAAUUCGUAGAUAUUAGGAAGAACACCAGUGGCGAAGGCGGCUCACUGGCCCGGUACUGACGCUGAGGCGCGAAAGCUAGGGGAGCGAACGGG